rnacentral:rRNA from 1 species
CUGCAGCCCGCGUGGUGAUCGAUUUUAUUGAGCCUAAAGCGUCCGUAGCCGGACUAGUAAACCCUUGGGUAAAUUGGGCAGCUUAACUGUCCAAAUUCCGAGGGGACUGCUAGUCUUGGGACCGGGAGAGGUCAGAGGUACUCAAGGGGUAGGGGCUAAAUCCUGUAAUCCUUUGGGGACCACCAGUGGCGAAGGCGUCUGACUAGAACGGAUCCGACGGUAAGGGACGAAACCCUGGGGCGCGAACCGGAUUAGAUACCCGAGUAGUCC